GACGAACGCUGGCGGCGUGCCUAAUACAUGCAAGUCGAACGCUGAAGAGAGGAGCUUGCUCUUCUUGGAUGAGUUGCGAACGGGUGAGUAACGCGUAGGUAACCUGCCUUGUAGCGGGGGAUAACUAUUGGAAACGAUAGCUAAUACCGCAUAACAAUAGGUGACACAUGUCAUUUAUUUGAAAGGGGCAAUUGCUCCACUACAAGAUGGACCUGCGUUGUAUUAGCUAGUAGGUGAGGUAACGGCUCACCUAGGCGACGAUACAUAGCCGACCUGAGUGGGUGAUCGGCCACACUGGGACUGAGACACGGCCCAGACUCCUACGGGAGGCAGCAGUAGGGAAUCUUCGGCAAUGGGGGCGACCCUGACCGAGCAACGCCGCGUGAGUGAAGAAGGUUUUCGGAUCGUAAAGCUCUGUUGUAAGUCAAGAACGAGUGUGAGAGUGGAAAGUUCACACUGUGACGGUAGCUUACCAGAAAGGGACGGCUAACUACGUG
rnacentral:rRNA from 1 species